UGGGUAACCUGCCUGUAAGACUGGGAUAACUCCGGGAAACCGGGGCUAAUACCGGAUGCUUGAUUGAACCGCAUGGUUCAAUCAUAAAAGGUGGCUUUUAGCUACCACUUACAGAUGGACCCGCGGCGCAUUAGCUAGUUGGUGAGGUAACGGCUCACCAAGGCGACGAUGCGUAGCCGACCUGAGAGGGUGAUCGGCCACACUGGGACUGAGACACGGCCCAGACUCCUACGGGAGGCAGCAGUAGGGAAUCUUCCGCAAUGGACGAAAGUCUGACGGAGCAACGCCGCGUGAGUGAUGAAGGUUUUCGGAUCGUAAAACUCUGUUGUUAGGGAAGAACAAGUACCGUUCGAAUAGGGCGGCACCUUGACGGUACCUAACCAGAAAGCCACGGCUAACUACGUGCCAGCAGCCGCGGUAAUACGUAGGUGGCAAGCGUUGUCCGGAAUUAUUGGGCGUAAAGCGCGCGCAGGCGGUUUCUUAAGUCUGAUGUGAAAGCCCCCGGCUCAACCGGGGAGGGUCAUUGGAAACUGGGGAACUUGAGUGCAGAAGAGGAGAGUGGAAUUCCACGUGUAGCGGUGAAAUGCGUAGAGAUGUGGAGGAACACCAGUGGCGAAGGCGACUCUCUGGUCUGUAACUGACGCUGAGGCGCGAAAGCGUGGGGAGCGAACAGGAUUAGAUACCCUGGUAGUCCACGCCGUAAACGAUGAGUGCUAAGUGUUAGAGGGUUUCCGCCCUUUAGUGCUGCAGCAAACGCAUUAAGCACUCCGCCUGGGGAGUACGGUCGCAAGACUGAAACUCAAAGGAAUUGACGGGGGCCCGCACAAGCGGUGGAGCAUGUNGUUUAAUUCGAAGCAACGCGAAGAANNUUACCAGGUNU
rnacentral:rRNA from 1 species